GACGAACGCUGGCGGCGUGCUUAACACAUGCAAGUCGAACGGUGAAGCUCCAGCUUGCUGGUGUGGAUCAGUGGCGAACGGGUGAGUAACACGUGAGCAACCUGCCCCGGACUCUGGAAUAAGCGCUGGAAACGGCGGCUAAUACUGGAUACGAGAAGGGUCCGCAUGGGCACUUUCUGGAAAGUUUUUCGGUUGGGGAUGUGCUCGCGGGCUAUCAGAUCGUUGGUGGGGUAAUGGUUCACCAAGGCAUGGACGGGUAGCCGACCUGAGAGGGCGACGGGCCACACUGGGACUGUGAGACGCCGCAGACUCCAACGGGGGGCAGCAGUGGGGAAUAUUGCACAAUGGGCGAAAGCCUGAUGCAGCGACGCCGCGUGAGGGAUGACGGCCUUCGGGUUGUAAACCUCUUUCAGCAGAGAAGAAGCGAAAGUGACGGUACCGGCAGAAGAAGCACCGGCUAACUACGUG
rnacentral:rRNA from 1 species